GGGGGACAGACAGACAGACAGAGGUGCGGGGACAGGUACAGGUGUGGUGGAUAUACCAUGCCUACCACCGGAUAUAUGUACCUCCAGGUUUAGGUGGACAGACGUACAGGUGCACGGACGGACAGACGGAUAUAGGUACGUGGGCAGACAGACGGAAAGCUAUAGGUACAGGGACAGACAGACAGACGUAGGUACACGGACAGACAGACAUAGGUACGUGGGCAGACAGAAGGAUAUAGGUACGUGGACAGACAGACAGGUACCUGACAUAAAGACAGAGGUACGUGGACAUAGACAGAUAUAGGUACACGGACGGACAGACACACGGACAGACAGACACAGGUGUAGGUACACGGACAGACACGGGUAUGUGGACAGACAGACAGACAGAGGCACACGGACAGGCAGAUACGGGUACGUGCGGACAGACAGACGGACGCAGGGACGCAGCCGCACGGGCUCGGCCACAAGCCACGCUCCUGGGGCAUUUCAGCGAGGCUCCCGGGGGGCAGCUCGCCUCGCUGCCGCCGGAAUCGCUCAAGCGGCUCCGAAAACGUCUCUGGCGGGGGAAACUUCCCAGCCUGCAGCCCGGGACCCCGGCUGCGGCAGGGCCACCGCUCCCUUUUGGGGUCUUUCCCCACGCCGCGGCUGCAAACCCUGCAGGAGCACUUGGGUGACGGGCCGGGCCUGGAGGGUGAACUGCCGAGACGGGGCUGCGGGAGAGGUGUGGGGGCAUCCUGGGGGGAUUUUGCCCCGGCAAAGCGCUGCUGGAGCACAAGGCGGAAGAGCAGAGGUCGCCGCGGUGCCUUUUGGGCCCCGUAGCACCCGCAAACCAGCGAGUACCGGGACGGGGCAGGGCGCUCCUCCCGGCUGCUCUGCCACUGCUGGACUCCUCCUGGCGUCCCCGAGGCACAGCGCCGUCCCACCGGGGCCACGGUCCUGCCGCCGUCGCCGUAUCGCCGGUAUCGGAGCCGAUAACGCCCACGGGGAGGGCGCAAAGUCCGGGCGGGUGAGCUGGGGGCACCGAGGAGAGGCAGAGAGCCGAAAAGCUCCGGCUCCCCGGGCACGGCGCCCCGAGCGGCCCCGCAGUGACGGAGGGGUCGGGGACCCCCUGCUUGGCAGAGGGGGCGAGCAGGGGAGCGGGGCUGCCCGUGGGUAACCCGGUGCUGGGUGCCGUCGUCUUAUUAGAAGAAUAAGGAGUUGGGGAAGCAGAGAAAUCCAGGAAUUUGUGUACGGGAACGCAGACCGUGGGGCUGCUCGCAGGGGAACGGGCAGCAACGUCCCCAGCUCAGCUGGCUCCUGCUCAGAGCCGUCACCUCAAGACAGCUGAAACCUGCCGGUUUCACACAAAAAUACC